CUGCAAUGGUUGCACGGUCUCCGUUUGCGAAGACAUAGUGAAGGGGCAACUGAGACGCCUAAUCACGGUCAUCUGUAUAUGUGAUGGCGGCAGCGGACCAGCCAAAGACGGAAGCAUUGGCUGUAUCGAACCAGAAGAAAACGAAAGCAGCGAAGGCAGCACUACUACAGAGCAAUGCUGGGGACGACGCGUUGGACGUCUUCAACAACUUCUAGUUCGGGCCGAACGAGGACGAGAAUGACUACAGCAGCGUGGUAGCCUUCUGAAGUAUCAAGAAAGGAAAUACACUUAGCAGUCGGCGAUCUCUGUACGACGUGGGCGGCCUCUAACGAAAGAGCGGACAUUCAAGACAGAGCCCAGCACACAGCGAAAAGCCGAAUAUUUUUUCUGCGUCACCAAAGGGCCGUUCGCAGUGUGCUUUGGAUGGCGCAUGAGGUGAAAAGCUUUCUCGGUAAGGUACAAACUUCUCCAAGCACACUCGCCAGUGUUGGAAACACUUCUUGAACGCAUCUCAGGGAUGAUAAUAAACCCGGUUACCACACUGCA